ACUCCAGCUGCUCUCUGCGUGUUCUCCUGAUCUUUGGACUGCGGCGGAACCGUCUGCCAGCGAGUCGUGAGUCAUAAACUUGGGUGCAAAGGGCCACUCGGCCCUCGUCGCCUCCUCACCUGGAGCGUCGUCUCUGCUCGGCUCUCCGGACUCGGCCCUCAGAGCCGUGUCGCUGUCUCUCCGGCGGUGCGAUUUCACCCUCUUGUGUGCGACCUGGAGGACGAAGACAGCGCGUGUCUGCAGGUGGCGGCUCUGCUUCUCCAGCUUGUCUUGCUGCUGCUUGAUCUUCUCCACCAGCUGGUCGAUGCGUCGGUUCUGAGCCGCGACCAGAGCCUGGAGAAACACAACGUCUGCUCUUUGGUUCUGGCCUCCAUCGCUCCAUCGCGCUCCCGCCGCGCCCUCUCGAGUUGAGCCAGCGAGCCGUUGAAGGCCUUCAGCUUGGC